rnacentral:rRNA from 1 species
UACGUAGGGUGCAAGCGUUGUCCGGAAUUAUUGGGCGUAAAGAGCUCGUAGGCGGUUUGUCGCGUCUGCUGUGAAAACUCGGGGCUUAACCCCGGGCCUGCAGUGGGUACGGGCAGACUAGAGUGCGGUAGGGGAGACUGGAAUUCCUGGUGUAGCGGUGAAAUGCGCAGAUAUCAGGAGGAACACCGGUGGCGAAGGCGGGUCUCUGGGACGGUACUGACGCUGAGACGCGAAAGCGUGGGGGAGCGAACAGG